rnacentral:misc_RNA from 1 species
GUGAAUCAUCGAAUCUUUGAACGCAAAUUGCACUCUCCUCGGAGAGUAUGCCUGUUUGAGGGUCAGCCUAUAAAAAAUCGACAUCGUUGCUGUUUUGCGGUGGGGUUCGUCGGCAAUUGGGUCAUCUUAAAUCCUUUGGUUUUAAGGGACUUAAAAUUUUCCUUUUGGUUCCAUGAACGUUUCUAAGAUUUAUUUCUUUAUACGUUUAAGGUAUCGAUUUUUAUUAGAAUUGAACACGAUAU